CCUACGGGAGGCAGCAGUGGGGAAUUUUGGACAAUGGGGGCAACCCUGAUCCAGCCAUUCCGCGUGAGUGAAGAAGGCCUUCGGGUUGUAAAGCUCUUUCGCAAGGGAAGAAAACUUAUGAUCGAAUAAAUCAUGAGGUUGACGGUACCUUGAUAAGAAGCACCGGCUAACUACGCGCCAGCAGCCGCGGUAAUACGUAGGGUGCGAGCGUUAAUCGGAAUUACUGGGCGUAAAGCGUGCGCAGGCGGUUUUGUAAGUCGGAUGUGAAAUCCCCGGGCUCAACCUGGGAACUGCGUUCGAAACUGCAAGGCUAGAGUGUGUCAGAGGGGGGUAGAAUUCCACGUGUAGCAGUGAAAUGCGUAGAGAUGUGGAGGAAUACCAAUGGCGAAGGCAGCCCCCUGGGAUAACACUGACGCUCAUGCACGAAAGCGUGGGGAGCAAACAGGAUUAGAUACCCUGGUAGUCCACGCCCUAAACGAUGUCAACUAGUUGUUGGUAGAGUAAAAUCUAUGAGUAACGUAGCUAACGCGUGAAGUUGACCGCCUGGGGGAGGUACGGUCGGCGAAGUAAGUUAAAGUUACGAAGUAAAGUUAAGUUAGGACGNGNGAGNGCGACGACGACGACGACGGAGGAGGAG
rnacentral:rRNA from 1 species